CCGUAGGGUGAACCUGCGGAAGGAUCAUUACAGAGUUCAUGCCCUUCGGGGUAGACCUCCUACCCUUGUGUAUUAUAACAAAUUGUUGCCUUGGCGGGCUGCGGCUCUGCUGCCCAGGAUUCGUCCCGGUACGCCCGCCGAAGGACCCUUAAACUCUGUUUAUUAGUGUCGUCUGAGUUUUAUAUAAUAGUUAAAACUUUCAACAACGGAUCUCUUGGUUCUGGCAUCGAUGAAGAACGCAGCGAAAUGCGAUAAGUAAUGUGAAUUGCAGAAUUCAGUGAAUCAUCGAAUCUUUGAACGCACAUUGCGCCCCUUGGUAUUCCGAAGGGCAUGCCUGUUCGAGCGUCAUUAUGACCAAUCUAGCCUGGCUAGGUAUUGGGCUUCGCGGUUCCGCGGGCCUUAAAACCAGUGGCGGUGCUCUCAGGCUCUACGCGUAGUAACUUUCUCGCUUUGGAGCCCUGGGGGAUGCUUGCCAUCAACCUCAACUUUCUUAGGUUGACCUCGGAUCAGGUAGGGAUACCCGCUGAACUUAAGCAUAUCAAUAAGCGGAGGA
rnacentral:rRNA from 1 species